rnacentral:lncRNA from 1 species
AAUUAAAUUCUUUGAGUAAUUGAUAUUAUGUAUACUAAUAUGUAAAUAAUGUUAAAGCAACAUCACUACAACAGAAUUAGGUUAUAGGAACACAUGUUUGGGACACUUUUGAGUAAGUGUCUCAUUUAUGCUAAAACUUAAAAAAAAUCUACUAAUGCCUAAAUAUAAAACCCAAUCCAACCAAAAAUAAAAGAUUACUCUACUCAAUCCACCACACCCAGUUCAUUUGGCCCGAUUACAAACAGAAAAGGAAAAAAAAGAGAAAAAUCAAUUACCAUCUUUUCUUCUCUCUUCACUCAAUCCACUGAAAUUCUAGACGAAGAGCCUUUCCUGUCGUCCUCCUCCGCCACCGCAGCCAACGAGAUAGAGUUUCGGCGGUUGCUAAAUGCUUAAAUAAGUGUUGCACUACAACAAAAACGGUCUAUAGCGACACUUUUAAAUAUAGGUACAUGUCAAAAAAGUGCUACUAGCUGAAAUUACCGACACUUUUAAAAAGUGUUGCUAUAUGUGGGGUCGCUAGGUAUAUAGUGACAGUUAAAGAGUGUCGCUAUAACCUAAAAGAGUGCUGCUAAUUUACCAACACUUAUUUAAGCAUUUAGCAACCGUCGAAACUCUAUCUCGUUAGCUGCGGUGGCGGAGGAGGACGACAGUAAAGGCUCUUCGUCUAGAAUUUCAGUGGAUUGAGUGAAGAGAAGAAAAGAUGGUAAUUGAUUUUUCUUUUUUUUUUCUUUUCUGUUUGUAAUCGGGCCAAAUGGACUGGGUGUGGUGGGUUGAGUAGAGUAAUCUUUUAUUUUUGGUUGAUUGGGCUUUAUAUUUAGGCAUUAGUAUAUGUGUUUUUAAGUUUAGCAUAAAUGGAACACUUACUCAAAAGUGUUCCAAACAUGUGUACCUAUAACCCAAUUCUGUUGUAGUGUUGGUAAAUUAGCAGCACUCUUUUAGAUUAUAGCGACACUCUUUAACUGUCACAUAUACCUAGCGACCCCACAUAUAAUAACACUUUUUAAAAGUGUCGGUAAUUUUAUCUAGCAGCACUUUUUUGACAUGUACCUACAUUUAAAAGUGUCGCUAUAGACCGUUUUUGUUGUAGUGUAUUACUCUAAAAAUUUAAGCUAUUAAGCAUGAUGUUUUGAUAUUUUAUAUUUAAAAAUGUCCCUCAAAUUUAGACUCGAUUUUUUUGGACC